CUGUCAUACAUAACACAACAUAGUUUAUUGUUAUAGUAAGUUACAAGGGAGAGAGGGCCAAGUGUCAGCAGCAAGUCAAGUGUUGUAAGUAAGCGAGGUAACACCAGCCUCAGUCUUGCUGCCUCGUUCAUGCUGUCUUAACGCUUCGCACAUGAUAAAAGUGUCAGUGUGACAAGUGGAGGAAAUCCCUCAGUAUACAGUACACAACUGCAGGAUCACUUGCUGGCAUAGAAGUGCUAAAGGACAGGUCUCUAGGUCAAACUACCUUGGUGGGAGAUGGCCAGCAUAAAAAAAACAAGAUACAUGAAAAUGGAAGACAACAGGACCAUCAAGAGAGGCCACACCUGUAAACUGAGUGUUGAGAGGAACACACCACUGUAAUUUUAUUGAUAAACAUUGAUGUUGGACUCGACUUCUCCUAUGGAAUUCUUUGCAACGCAGGUGUAGAGGCCAAUGUCUGCUGCUGUGAGAUCGUGGAUGGUGAGCUUCAUGUGGACAGCAUAGCCUCCAGGCUUCUUGUGUUCUUCCCGCACCACAUACUUGCUAGAAGACAUCAACAUCUCUCCUGCAGUAACUCAUCAGAUGACCAUAUGACCUGUUUCUGCACUACAAAUCAUUGAUUUUAUUCGAUUUGACCGGAUUAUAUUAUAAACUGUGCUACAAAUUUGUACAACUAUAAAGCCUCUUAUUUGAAAUACUCAUUUGUACUUCAUGUUGUAAUUUGUUUACUUUAAUUUUUACCACUGAAUAUAUCAUUGCUUAGUUAAGAUUAAGUUAAUUUUAAGCCUGCCCAUAAUGCUCUACUUACAAGGGGCUUUUGGCAUGCACACCCAACCAUUGGAUUUCUUUCGUACAACUAUGUAUCAUGUCCAAAUAAUAAUAAAUAAAAUAAAUAAAUAAAUAAAAAUAAAUGUGUACCUGUACCUAAACUUUCGCAACUCAUCUGCAGUGCUACAUCACCUAUACACAUUAAACACUGAAUAAUCUUAUUAAAUACUAUAUCUAUCGCUACAAUUAAAUAUAUUAUUGUCCCCACAUGAGAGGUCCCAUGACUGCAGUGAGGGAAUUUUGAUCCAAGGAACUGGAUCCUUAGAUUAACCUUAAAUCCCUCCUUUUCCCAGGUGUUAUAUGGCUCCCACGGGUUUAGUUCUUCUGGUGAUUCAAAUAAGAUUAUUGUAAUCAGGCAAUGAGAGUUCCCGAGGUUUGAUCCGAGGAAGUCAUUAUUUCUUGGAUCAAGAGCCCUUCAGCCUCAAGGAACACUUCAA